rnacentral:rRNA from 1 species
AAGUAAAAGUCAUAACAAGGUUUCCGUAGGUGAACCUGCGGAAGGAUCAUUAGUGAUUUGGCCGAGAGGCCUUAAAACAACAUCAUCCUCACACCUGUGAACACGCAUCGGACUGGUUUAUACCGGUCUGAGACCUUUACAAACAUUAUGUGUAAUGAACGUAUCAUACCUAUAACAAAAACAAAACUUUCAACAACGGAUCUCUUGGCUCUCGCAUCGAUGAAGAACGCAGCGAAAUGCGAUAAGUAAUGUGAAUUGCAGAAUUCAGUGAAUCAUCGAAUCUUUGAACGCACCUUGCGCCUCUUGGUAUUCCGAGAGGCAUGCCUGUUUGAGUGUCAUGAAAUCUCAAUCCCCAAUGGGUUUUUUGGAACCUGGUGGCGGACUUGGACUUGGGCGCUUGCCUACCCUGGCUCGCCUCAAAUGACUUAGUGGGAUCCCUGUGACCUAUGCCUGACGUAAUAAGUUUCGUCUCGGUUGGUCGCUGGGCCUGCUCAGAACCCAACAUUAUUUCUUUUGACAUUGGACCUCGAAUCAG